rnacentral:rRNA from 1 species
AUUGAACGCUGGCGGCAUGCCUUACACAUGCAAGUCGAACGGCAGCACGGGGCAACCUGGUGGCGAGUGGCGAACGGGUGAGUAAUGCAUCGGAACGUACCUUUCAGUGGGGGAUAACGUAGCGAAAGUUACGCUAAUACCGCAUAUUCUGUGAGCAGGAAAGCAGGGGAUCGCAAGACCUUGCGCUGAUUGAGCGGCCGAUGUCAGAUUAGCUAGUUGGUGAGGUAAAGGCUCACCAAGGCGACGAUCUGUAGCGGGUCUGAGAGGAUGAUCCGCCACACUGGAACUGAGACACGGUCCAGACUCCUACGGGAGGCAGCAGUGGGGAAUUUUGGACAAUGGGGGCAACCCUGAUCAGCCAUGCCGCGUGAGUGAAGAAGGCCUUCGGGUUGUAAAGCUCUUUCGGCCGGGAAGAAAUCGCACAGGUUAAUACCUUGUGUGGAUGACGGUACCGGAAUAAGAAGCACCGGCCAACUACGUGCCAGCCGCCGCGGUAAGAC